UACCAGCACCCCGAGUGGUCGGGACGAUUAUUGGGCCUAAAGCAGUCCGUAAGCCGGUCCUACAAGUCUUCCGUUUAAAUCCACCUGCUUAACAAGAUGGGCUGCGGAAGAUACUAUAGGGCUAGGAGGCGGAGAGGCAAGCGGUACUCAGUGGGUAGGGGUAAAAUCCUCUGAUCCAUUGAAGACCACCAGUGGCGAAGGCGGCUUGCCAGAACGCGCUCGACGGUG
rnacentral:rRNA from 1 species